GAAAUGUAAGCGGGCUGUCUGCAAAACGGAAAGUGAUACAAAAUGUGAAUACUGCGAUGGUGAAUACAAAGCAGACGAUAAAGGCUUUAAUAUUUAUACAAGUAAACCAGACAACACACAAUGUCAAAGAACAUGUUCAUGGGAUAAAGGCGCUCGAUGUUUUCCGGGGACAUGCACGGGCAGUAUGAUUUUGGAAACAGAUUGCAAAUGUGCAACAGGUUUCACUGGAAAGACGUCUGACUGUGCUACAGCUACAGCCGAAUUGAAACCAACUAUAGGAACGAUGACAUUCAAAUUAAAGAAAGGUUCUAAACAACCUGUUGAUGUUGAUAAGUUCAUACAAACAGACGUGAAAUGGACAAAUGAUGGUUUUUGGUCCGAUAUUUUAAUCGAAGCCUCUUCAAGUUAUAAGCUUAUCAUAAAUGGGUUACAAACACCAAAUUACA
rnacentral:lncRNA from 1 species